AGUGAACGCUGGCGGUAGGCCUAACACAUGCAAGUCGAACGGCAGCACAGUAAGAGCUUGCUCUUACGGGUGGCGAGUGGCGGACGGGUGAGGAAUACAUCGGAAUCUACUUUUUCGUGGGGGAUAACGUAGGGAAACUUACGCUAAUACCGCAUACGACCUACGGGUGAAAGCAGGAGAUCUUCGGACCUUGCGCGAUUGAAUGAGCCGAUGUCGGAUUAGCUAGUUGGCGGGGCAAAGGCCCACCAAGGCGACGAUCCGUAGCUGGUCUGAGAGGAUGAUCAGCCACACUGGAACUGAGACACGGCCCAGACUCCUACGGGAGGCAGCAGUGGGGAAUAUUGGACAAUGGGCGCAAGCCUGAUCCAGCCAUACCGCGUGUGUGAAGAAGGCCUUCGGGUUGUAAAGCCCUUUUGUUGGGAAAGAAAAGCAGCAGGUUAAUACCCCGCUGUUCUGACGGUACCCAAAGAAUAAGCACCGGCUAACUUCGUG
rnacentral:rRNA from 1 species